UAACGCGUGAGGAACCUGCCUCAAAGAGGGGGACAACAGUUGGAAACGACUGCUAAUGCCGCAUAAGCCCACGGCUCGGCAUCGAGCAGAGGGAAAAGGAGUGAUCCGCUUUGAGAUGGCCUCGCGUCCGAUUAGCUAGUUGGUGAGGUAACGGCCCACCAAGGCGACGAUCGGUAGCCGGACUGAGAGGUUGAACGGCCACAUUGGGACUGAGACACGGCCCAG
rnacentral:rRNA from 1 species